rnacentral:rRNA from 1 species
UGCAGUCGAACGGGGUCGGAACUUCGGUUCCGGCUUACGUGGCGCACGGGUGAGUAACACGUGGGAAUCUGCCCAUCUAUGGGGAAUAACUGCGGGAAACUGCAGCUAAUACCGCAUACGCCCUUCGGGGGAAAGGCUUCGGCCGUAGAUGGAUGAGCCCGCGUCCGAUUAGCUAGUUGGUGGGGUAAUGGCCUACCAAGGCGACGAUCGGUAGCUGGUCUGAGAGGAUGAUCAGCCACACUGGGACUGAGACACGGCCCAGACUCCUACGGGAGGCAGCAGUGGGGAAUAUUGGACAAUGGGCGAAAGCCUGAUCCAGCAAUGCCGCGUGAGUGAUGAAGGUCUUCGGAUUGUAAAGCUCUUUCGACGGGGAAGAUAAUGACGGUACCCGUAGAAGAAGCCCCGGCUAACUUCGUGCCAGCAGCCGCGGUAAUACGAAGGGGGCUAGCGUUGUUCGGAUUUACUGGGCGUAAAGCGUGCGUAGGCGGCUUAUCAAGUCAGAAGUGAAAGCCCGGGGCUCAACUCCGGAAUGGCUUUUGAGACUGGUAGGCUGGAGUUCGGGAGAGGGUAGUGGAAUUCCCAGUGUAGAGGUGAAAUUCGUAGAUAUUGGGAAGAACACCGGUGG